rnacentral:rRNA from 1 species
AGUGAACGCUGGCGGUAGGCCUAACACAUGCAAGUCGAACGGCAGCACAGUAAGAGCUUGCUCUUACGGGUGGCGAGUGGCGGACGGGUGAGGAAUACAUCGGAAUCUACUUUUUCGUGGGGGAUAACGUAGGGAAACUUACGCUAAUACCGCAUACGACCUACGGGUGAAAGCAUGGGAUCUUCGGACCUUGCGCGAUUGAAUGAGCCGAUGUCGGAUUAACUAGUUGGCGGGGUAAAGGCCCACCAAGGCGACGAUCCGUAGCUGGUCUGAGAGGAUGAUCAGCCACACUGGAACUGAGACACGGUCCAGACUCCUACGGGAGGCAGCAGUGGGGAAUAUUGGACAAUGGGCGCAAGCCUGAUCCAGCCAUACCGCGUGGGUGAAGAAGGCCUUCGGGUUGUAAAGCCCUUUUGUUGGGAAAGAAAAGCAGCAGGUUAAUACCCCGCUGUUCUGACGGUACCCAAAGAAUAAGCACCGGCUAACUUCGUG